rnacentral:rRNA from 1 species
GAACGCUGGCGGCGUGCCUAAUACAUGCAAGUCGAACGAACUUCCGUUAAUUGAUUAUGACGUACUUGUACUGAUUGAGAUUUUAACACGAAGUGAGUGGCGAACGGGUGAGUAACACGUGGGUAACCUGCCCAGAAGUAGGGGAUAACACCUGGAAACAGAUGCUAAUACCGUAUAACAGAGAAAACCGCAUGGUUUUCUUUUAAAAGAUGGCUCUGCUAUCACUUCUGGAUGGACCCGCGGCGUAUUAGCUAGUUGGUGAGGUAAAGGCUCACCAAGGCAGUGAUACGUAGCCGACCUGAGAGGGUAAUCGGCCACAUUGGGACUGAGACACGGCCCAGACUCCUACGGGAGGCAGCAGUAGGGAAUCUUCCACAAUGGACGCAAGUCUGAUGGAGCAACGCCGCGUGAGUGAAGAAGGGUUUCGGCUCGUAAAGCUCUGUUGUUAAAGAAGAACGUGGGUAAGAGUAACUGUUUACCCAGUGACGGUAUUUAACCAGAAAGCCACGGCUAACUACGUGCCAGCAGCCGCGGUAAUACGUAGGUGGCAAGCGUUAUCCGGAUUUAUUGGGCGUAAAGCGAGCGCAGGCGGUCUUUUAAGUCUAAUGUGAAAGCCUUCGGCUCAACCGAAGAAGUGCAUUGGAAACUGGGAGACUUGAGUGCAGAAGAGGACAGUGGAACUCCAUGUGUAGCGGUGAAAUG